AUUGAACGCUGGCGGCAUGCCUUACACAUGCAAGUCGAACGGUAACAGGUCUUCGGAUGCUGACGAGUGGCGAACGGGUAAGUAAUACAUCGGAACGUGCCUAGUAGUGGGGGAUAACUACUCGAAAGAGUGGCUAAUACCGCAUGAGAUCUACGGAUGAAAGCAGGGGAUCGCAAGACCUUGUGCUACUAGAGCGGCGGAUGGCAGAUUAGGUAGUUGGUGGGAUAAAAGCUUACCAAGCCGACGAUCUGUAGGUGGUCUGAGAGGACGAUCAGCCACACUGGGACUGAGAAACGGCCCAGACUCCUACGGGAGGCAGCAGUGGGGAAUUUUGGACAAUGGGCGCAAGCCUGAUCCAGCAAUGCCGCGUGCAGGAUGAUGGCCUUCGGGUUGUAACCUGCUUUUGUACGGAACGAAAAGCCCCGGGUUAAUACCCUGGGGUCAUGACGGUACCGUAAGAAUAAGCACCGGCUAACUACGUGCCAGCCGCCGCCGUAA
rnacentral:rRNA from 1 species